GCCAGGCAUAGUGGUGCAUGCCUGUAGUCCUAACUACUCAGGAGGCUGAGGCAGAAGAAUUGCUUGAACCCAGGAGGCUGAGGUUGCAGUGAGCUGAGGUCACGCCACUGCAUUCCAGCCUGGGCGAUAGAGCAAGACUUUGUCUCAA
rnacentral:SRP_RNA from 1 species